GAUAAACAAGCAAGGUAAGAAGGGUAACUGGUUAAAGUAGUAUGAAACGAGUCUUACAGUCAGAGAUAGAAGUUUAUUAAUUCCAUGCCGAUUUUGAAGAUAAUUAAAAGUUCAGGACCACUUCGCGACGCUCUUUUGAUCCGGGCAAUUACUUAGUUGCAAAUAAUACACCUGACUUCAGCAAAUUUUCCUAUUUCGUAAACCAUUUUAAUCUGCACCCUCCAUGAAAAAAUGUUUCAAUACGAAGAUAAAUAACCUAAGAAACAGUAUAUUGAGUCAAAUAUCAUUACUAAGGUUCUUCAUUUGAUUUCUGACCAAUAA